rnacentral:rRNA from 1 species
GGGAGGCAGCAGUGGGGAAUCCUGCGCAAUGGGGGAAACCCUGACGCAGCGACGCCGCGUGGGCGAUGAAGGCCUUCGGGUCGUAAAGCCCUGUCGAGCGGGACGAAGUGCGCGGGCUCUAACAUAGCUCGCGUUUGACGGUACCGCUAAAGGGAGCCCCGGCUAACUCCGUGCCAGCAGCCGCGGUAAUACGGAGGGGGCUAGCGUUAUUCGGAAUUAUUGGGCGCAAAGGGCGUGUAGGCGGCUUUGUGUGUCCCAUGUGAAAGCCCUCGGCUCAACCGGGGAACUGCAUGGGAAACUGCAGAGCUUGAGUCCGGGAGAGGUGAGUGGAAUUCCCAGUGUAGCGGUGAAAUGCGUAGAUAUUGGGAGGAACACCGGUGGCGAAGGCGGCCCACUGGACCGGUACUGACGCUGAGACGCGAAAGCCAGGGGAGCAAACGGGAUUAGAUACCCCGGUAGUCCUGGCUGUAAACGAUGAGCACUUGGUGUGGCGGGUAUCGACCCCUGCCGUGCCGAAGCUAACGCAUUAAGUGCUCCGCCUGGGGAGUACGGCCGCAAGGCUGAAACUCAAAGGAAUUGACGGGGGCCCGCACAAGCGGUGGAGCAUGUGGUUCAAUUCGACGCAACGCGAAGAACCUUACCUGGGUUUGAACUGCAGGUGACAGCCCCUGAAAGGGGGUCUUCCUUCGGGACACCUGUAGAGGUGCUGCAUGGCUGUCGUCAGCUCGUGUCGUGAGAUGUUGGGUUAAGUCCCGCAACGAGCGCAACCCCUACUCCUAGUUGCCAGCGGUUCGGCCGGGAACUCUAGGGGGACUGCCGGUGAUAAACCGGAGGAAGGUGGGGAUGACGUCAAGUCCUCAUGGCCUUUAUGUCCAGGGCUACACACGUGCUACAAUGGGCGGUACAAAGGGCUGCGAAGGCGCGAGCCGGAGCCAAUCCCAAAAAGCCGCUCUCAGUGCGGAUUGCAGUCUGCAACUCGACUGCAUGAAGGUGGAAUCGCUAGUAAU